ensembl:misc_RNA 7SK 7SK RNA
GGAUGUGAGGGUGAUCUGGCUGCGACAUCUGUCACCCCCAUUGAUCACCAGGGUUGAUUUGGCUGAUCUGGCUAGCUAGGCGGGUACCCCCCUCCUACUGCACCAAUCCAUGUGCGUCCUCCCGAAGCUGCAUGCUUGGUCGAAGAGGAUGACCUUCUCCCCAGAGGAGAGGACCGGUCUUCGGUCUUCAGUCAAGGGUAUACAAGUAGCUGCGCUCCCCUGCUAGAACCUCCAAACAAGCUCUCAAGAAGAGAGUGUUGAGCCGUGUCCAGUACUUCAAGCACAACUUUGUAAAGACAGAUGUACAAGGAGUUCAUUGCAGUAUUGU